ACCAACCGGGAUUGCCUCAGUAACGGCGAGUGAAGCGGCAAGAGCUCAAAUUUGAAAGCUGGCUCCUUCGGGGUCCGCAUUGUAAUUUGCAGAGGAUGCUUCGGGUGCAGCCCCCGUCUAAGUGCCCUGGAACGGGCCGUCAUAGAGGGUGAGAAUCCCGUAUGGGGCGGGGUGUCUGCGUCCGUGUGAAGCUCCUUCGACGAGUCGAGUUGUUUGGGAAUGCAGCUCUAAAUGGGUGGUAAAUUUCAUCUAAAGCUAAAUACUGGCCGGAGACCGAUAGCGCACAAGUAGAGUGAUCGAAAGAUGAAAAGCACUUUGAAAAGAGAGUUAAACAGCACGUGAAAUUGUUGAAAGGGAAGCGCUUGCAACCAGACUCGCUCGCGGGGUUCAGCCGGGCUUCGGCCCGGUGUACUUCCCCGCGGGCGGGCCAGCGUCGGUUUGGGCGGCCGGUCAAAGGCCUCCGGAAUGUAGCGCCCUUCGGGGCGCCUUAUAGCCGGGGGUGCAAUGCGGCCAGCCUGGACCGAGGAACGCGCUUCGGCACGGACGCUGGCAUAAUGGUUGUAAACGACCCGUCUUGA
rnacentral:rRNA from 1 species